GCGCCCGUAGCUUCCCGUCAGUAGACGGGAUUUCGCUGAAUAGUUACAUUAAGGUGCUCAACAAUUGGAUAGAGCAUCUGGCUUCGGACCAGAGGGUUGUGGGUUCAAAUCCUGCUGGGCGCG
rnacentral:tRNA from 1 species